UACGGAGGAUGCGAGCGUUAUCCGGAUUUAUUGGGUUUAAAGGGUGCGUAGGCGGGCUUUUAAGUCAGCGGUAAAAAUUCAGGGCUCAACCCCGUCCGGCCGUUGAAACUGGGGGCCUUGAGUGGGCGAGAAGAAGGCGGAAUGCGUGGUGUAGCGGUGAAAUGCAUAGAUAUCACGCAAAACCCCGAUUGCGAAGGCAGCCUUCCGGCGCCCUACUGACGCUGAGGCACGAAAGUGCGGGGAUCGAACAGG
rnacentral:rRNA from 1 species